UAUGGGUCUGUGUGGGUCUCAGUGGGUCUGUGUGGGUCUCUGUGUGGGUCGCAGCCGCUCUAAGGACGUGGUGGAGCCGCUGGUGCGGCCGCAGUGGGGCAGUGGGUCUCAGUGGGUCUCAGUGGGUCUCUAUGGGUCUGUGUGGGUCUGUCUAUGGGUCGCAGCCGCUCUAAGGACGUGGUGGAGCCGCUGGUGCGGCCGCAGUGGUUCGUGCGCUGCUCGGAGCUGGCGCGUGGGGCCAGCGCCGCCGUGCGCCGUGGGGAGCUGAGACUCAGA
rnacentral:lncRNA from 1 species